rnacentral:rRNA from 1 species
GAUGAACGCUGGCGGCGUGCCUAAUACAUGCAAGUCGAGCGAACAGACGAGGAGCUUGCUCCUCUGACGUUAGCGGCGGACGGGUGAGUAACACGUGGAUAACCUACCUAUAAGACUGGGAUAACUUCGGGAAACCGGAGCUAAUACCGGAUAAUAUAUUGAACCGCAUGGUUCAAUAGUGAAAGACGGUUUUGCUGUCACUUAUAGAUUGAUCCGCGCCGCAUUAGCUAGUUGGUAAGGUAACGGCUUACCAAGGCAACGAUGCGUAGCCGACCUGAGAGGGUGAUCGGCCACACUGGAACUGAGACACGGUCCAGACUCCUACGGGAGGAAGCAGUAGGGAAUCUUCCGCAAUGGGCGAAAGCCUGACGGAGCAACGCCGCGUGAGUGAUGAAGGUCUUCGGAUCGUAAAACUCUGUUAUUAGGGAAGAACAAAUGUGUAAGUAACUAUGCACGUCUUGACGGUACCUAAUCAGAAAGCCACGGCUAACUACGUG